ACGAACGCUGGCGGCGUGCCUAAUACAUGCAAGUCGAACGCUUCUUUCCUCCCGAGUGCUUGCACUCAAUUGGAAAGAGGAGUGGCGGACGGGUGAGUAACACGUGGGUAACCUACCCAUCAGAGGGGGAUAACACUUGGAAACAGGUGCUAAUACCGCAUAACAGUUUAUGCCGCAUGGCAUAAGAGUGAAAGGCGCUUUCGGGUGUCGCUGAUGGAUGGACCCGCGGUGCAUUAGCUAGUUGGUGAGGUAACGGCUCACCAAGGCCACGAUGCAUAGCCGACCUGAGAGGGUGAUCGGCCACACUGGGACUGAGACACGGCCCAGACUCCUACGGGAGGCAGCAGUAGGGAAUCUUCGGCAAUGGACGAAAGUCUGACCGAGCAACGCCGCGUGAGUGAAGAAGGUCUUCGGAUCGUAAAACUCUGUUGUUAGAGAAGAACAAGGACGUUAGUAACUGAACGUCCCCUGACGGUAUCUAACCAGAAAGCCACGGCUAACUACGUG
rnacentral:rRNA from 1 species